rnacentral:lncRNA from 1 species
UUCACAUGAUUUCGACUCAAAAUCAUGGGUUUUCAUGGGGGAAAUUGGAUGUUUUGGGUAGAACCUAGGUUUUUCAAAUUUUGGAAAUUUGGACCUUGAUUUGAGGUCCGAUUUCAAAACAAAUUAUAUAUUUGGGUUUGUGAGGGAAUAGGUAAUCGGGGUUUGGUUCGAACCUCAGUUUUUGACCAUGUGGGCCCAGGGGCGAUUUUUGACUUUUUGUGAAAAACUUUUAAAAACCUAUUUUCAUGCAUUAGAAUUGAUUCGUUAAGCAUUUAUUGAUAUAGUUAAGUAACUUAUGGCUAGAUACAAGCGAAUUGGUGAUGGAAUCAAGAGGUAAAGCGAUAGUUGAGGCUUGAAUUAUGUUCGUGGCAUCGAGGUAAGUGUUUGGUCUAACCCUAGCUUGAGGGAUUAAGAGUUGUGUCCUAUUUGCCAUGUGCUAGUUGUUGAAUACGACAUAUAGGCAUGGUGACGAGCAUCUAUACAUUGGUGUCAAGCAUGCCCGUGAGUCUUAUAUUAUGAUUAAUGUGACCCCAUUUGUAUUGUUCAUGCUUUAUAUGAUGAUUUCUAUUGUUGAGCAAGGUUUGUGGAAGUGAUAUUUGUAUUUGAACAUUGAAGAGCGUUGGCUCAAGUUGUAAAGUAAUUUGUGGAAGUAUAAUUGGCAACUGGACCUUAUAGAGCAUUGGCUAAAAUUAUGAAUUGAGUUGUGAAGUAAAUGUGGGGAAAAAAGAGGAUUAUGAUAGUGUCUCCCUUGCCGGGAUGUUGUUAUUUUAAUGUUGUCUCCCUUUCCGAGAUGUUAUUGUUGAUAUUGUUUUCCCUUGCCUGGAUAUGACUAUUAUACUAUUGUUCCCUUGUCGGGAUGUACUUGUAAAUUUGUUGAUUUCCUUGCCCUUAUUGCUUUAUGAUUGUUGUUUGGGUGAGGAAGAGUGUUAAAACACAAAGGGUGAUGUCGUGCAUUGUUUUGGUGAGAGAGUGUUAAAGCACAAAGGGUGAUGUUGUGGAUGAUUUUGUAAGGAAGAGUGUAAAAUUACAAAGGGUGAUGUUGUGCCACACGAUGUACAAUUCUGUGCCGAUUAUAUUGAUUUUAUGGUGAGGACGAGAGUAAAAGCACAAAGGGUGAUGUCGUACAGAUUAUAUUGAUUCUUAUGGUGAGGACGAGAGUAAAAGCACAAAGGGUGAUGUUGUGCACUUGUUUGAUUUCUGAUUCCUGUUGAUAAUUGAGUUAUGGUGUUCCUUAUAUUUAUCUGUUGUCUUUCUGUUAUCAUUUGAUGUUUCCCCGCAGCAUGUUUCCCCCUCCCAUUCUUAACUAUACAUUCCUACUUUUAUUUUCUACUGUAUAUGAUUUAACUGCAUAGGUUUAUUUGGUAGUCUGGUCCUAGCCUCGUCACUACUUUGCCGAGGUUAAGCUAGGCACUUACCAACACAUGGGGUCGGUUGUGCUCAUACUACACUCUGCACUAUGUGCAGAUCCUAGUGCAAUAGCUUUCAGACCUUAGCUUUGGGUUUGCUUCCUUCAAUCCAUUCGGAGAUCCGAGGUAGUCCUGUAGGCGUACGCAUGCCUUGGCGUCUUCUCCUAUCCUUUCAUUCUAUUUCUUUUAUAUAUUUCAGAGACAAUGUUGUAAUAAAUCUUUCAGACCCUUAUUUGUAGUAAUCCUAGAUAGUCUAUGGAAUUGUGACACCAAUUUUAGGUAGUUUAUGUAUGGAUUGGUAUUGACAUCUUUAUUAAUAUGUUAUGUUUUAGUCUUUCGCUUUUUAAUUUCUGUUGUUUAUAUAAUAUUGGCUCUAAAUUGUUAAAGGAUUAAAAAUGGGGAAAAGGUAAAUAAUUUAAAUGGUUGGCUUGCCUAGCUUUCACUAGUAGGCGCCAUCACGAC